rnacentral:rRNA from 1 species
AGUAGUUUGACUCUGGCUCGAGGACACGCUGGCGGCACGCCUAACACAUGCAAGUCGAACGGAGUGAAGAUGCUUGCAUCUGAACUUAGUGGCGGACGGGUGAGUAACACGUGAGCAACCUGCCUUUCAGAGGGGGAUAACGUUUGGAAACGAACGCUAAUACCGCAUAAAAUAUCGGAGUCGCAUGGCACUGAUAUCAAAGGAGCAAUCCGCUGAAAGAUGGGCUCGCGUCCGAUUAGGCAGUUGGCGGGGUAACGGCCCACCAAACCGACAAUCGGUAGCCGGACUGAGAGGUUGAACGGCCACAUUGGGACUGAGACACGGCCCAGACUCCUACGGGAGGCAGCAGUGGGGGAUAUUGCACAAUGGGGGAAACCCUGAUGCAGCGAUGCCGCGUGAAUGAAGACGGCCUUCGGGUUGUAAAGUUCUGUCGCAGGGGACGAAAAUGACGGUACCUGACUAAGAAGCCCCGGCUAACUACGUG